GAUGAACGCUGGCGGCGUGCCUAAUACAUGCAAGUCGAGCGAACAGACGAGGAGCUUGCUCCUUGGACGUGAGCGGCGGAGGGGUGAGUAACACGUGGAUAACCUACUUAUAAGACUGGGAUAACUUCGGGAAACCGGAGCUAACAGCGGAGAAGAUGCUGAAGCGCAGGGGGCAAUAGAGAAAGACGGUGUUGGGGGCAGGUAUAGAUGGAUCCGCGCCGCAUGAGCUAGUUGGUAGGGUAACGGCUUAUCAAGGCAACGAUGCGUAGGCGACCUGAGGGGGUGAUCGGCCACACUGGAACUGAGACACGGUCCAGACUCCUACGGGAGGCAGCAGUCGGGUAUCUUCCGCAAUGGGCGAAAGCCUGACGGAGCAACGCCGCGUGAGUGAAGACGGUCUUCGGAUCGUAAUGCUCUGUUAUUAGGGAAGAACAACUGUGUCAGUAACUAUGCCCUUCUUGACGGUACCUGAUCAGAAAGCCCCGGCUAACUACGUG
rnacentral:rRNA from 1 species